rnacentral:sRNA from 25 species
UGUAUCUGAAGUCUGACGAGGAUGAGAACCUCCGGAGGGCAAGAGGUUCGACCCGAGCGAAGCGAGAAAAUGUUGCGUCAGCAACGGCCCGCAGGGCGAGCCAUCCUCUAUCACCGGCAG